AGUGAACGCUGGCGGUAGGCCUAACACAUGCAAGUCGAACGGCAGCACAGUAAGAGCUUGCUCUUACGGGUGGCGAGUGGCGGACGGGUGAGGAAUACAUCGGAAUCUACUUUUUCUUGGGGGAUAACGUAGGGAAACUUACGCUAAUACCGCAUACGACCUACGGGUGAAAGCAGGGGAUCUUCGGACCUUGCGCGAUUGAAUGAGCCGAUGUCGGAUUAGCUAGUUGGCGGGGUAAAGGCCCACCAAGGCGACGAUCCGUAGCUGGUCUGAGAGGAUGAUCAGCCACACUGGAACUGAGACACGGUCCAGACUCCUACGGGAGGCAGCAGUGGGGAAUAUUGGGCAAUGGGCGCAAGCCUGAUCCAGCAAUACCGCGUGGGUGAAGAAGGCCUUCGGGUUGUAAAGCCCUUUUGUUGGGAAAGAAAAGCAGCAUGUUAAUACCCCGCUGUUCUGACGGUACCCAAAGAAUAAGCACCGGCUAACUUCGUG
rnacentral:rRNA from 1 species